CUCCCGGGAAGGGGGUGUGGCGGACGGCUGAGUAACACGUGGCUAACCUACCCUAAGGAGGUGGAUAACCCCGGGAAACUGGGGAUAAUCCACCAUAGGCGAGGAUUCCUGGAACGGUUCCUCGCUGAAAGGCCCAUAGGCUGUUCCCGUCUAUGGGCGCCUUAGGAUGGGGCUGCGGCCUAUCAGGUAGUUGGGGGAGUAAAGGUCCCCCAAGCCGAUAACGGGUAGGGGCCGUGAUAGCGGGAGCCCCCAGUUGGGCACUGAGACAAGGGCCCAGGCCCUACGGGGUGCACCAGGCGCGAAACGUCCCCAAUGCGCGAAAGCGUGAGGGCGCUACCCCGAGUGCUCCCGUAAGGGAGCUUUUCCUCACUCUAAAAAGGUGAGGGAAUAAGCGGGGGGCAAGUCUGGUGUCAGCCGCCGCGGUAAUACCAGCUCCGCGAGUGGUCGGGACUAUUACUGGGCCUAAAGCGCCCGUAGCCGGCCCGGUAAGUCAUUCCUUAAAGACCCCGGCUCAACCGGGGGAAUGGGGGUGAUACUACCGGGCUAGGGGGCGGGAGAGGCCAGCGGUACUCCCGGAGUAGGGGCGAAAUCCUCAGAUCCUGGGAGGACCACCAGUGGCGAAAGCGGCUGGCUAGAACGCGCCCGACGGUGAGGGGCGAAAGCCGGGGCAGCAAAAGGGAUUAGAUACCCCUGUAGUCCCGGCUGUAAACGAUGCGGGCUAGGUGUCACAUGGGCUUAGGGCCCAUGUGGUGCCGCAGGGAAGCCAUUAAGCCCGCCGCCUGGGGAGUACGGUUGCAAGACUGAAACUUAAAGGAAUUGGCGGGGGAGCACCACAAGGGGUGGAACCUGCGGCUCAAUUGGAGUCAACGCCUGGAAUCUUACCAAGAGAGACCGCAGGAUGACGGCCAGGCUAACGACCUUGCCUGACUCGCGGAGAGGAGGUGCAUGGCCGUCGCCAGCUCGUGUUGUGAAAUGUCCUGUUAAGUCAGGCAACGAGCGAGACCCCCACGCUUAGUUGGUAUCCUGGUCUCCGGACCGGGACCACACUAAGCGGACUGCCAGCGUAAGCUGGAGGAAGGAGGGGGCCACGGCAGGUCAGCAUGCCCCGAAACUCUUGGGCCGCACGCGGGUUACAAUGGCAGGGACAAUGGGAUCCCACCCCGAAAGGGGAAGGUAAUCCCUAAACCCUGCCGCAGUUGGGAUCGAGGGCUGAAACUCGCCCUCGUGAACGAGGAAUCCCU
rnacentral:rRNA from 1 species